GCCUGAGUGGCUCAGUCGGUUAAGUGUCUGACUUUGGCUCAGGUCAUGAUCUCAUGGUUCAUGGGUGGUUCAUGGGUUCAAGUCCCAUGUCAGGCU
rnacentral:tRNA from 1 species